UUGAUCUCAAAUCAGGUAGGACUACCCGCUGAACUUAAGCAUAUCAAUAAGCGGAGGAAAAGAAACUAACAAGGAUUCCCCUAGUAACUGCGAGUGAAGCGGGAAGAGCUCAAAUUUAAAAUCUGGCGUGCCUCUGGUCGUCCGAGUUGUAGUCUGGAGAAGCGUCUUCCGUGUUGGACCGUGUAUAAGUCCCUUGGAACAGGGCGUCAUAGAGGGUGAGAAUCCCGUCUUUGACACGGACUACCAAUGCUUUGUGAUGCGCUCUCAAAGAGUCGAGUUGUUUGGGAAUGCAGCUCAAAAUGGGUGGUAAAUUCCAUCUAAAGCUAAAUAUAGGCGAGAGACCGAUAGCGAACAAGUACCGUGAGGGAAAGAUGAAAA
rnacentral:rRNA from 1 species